UAGCUUAGUGGUCAGAGCAGUGGUGCGUAAAGCCAAUUGUCCCGGGUUCGAUUCCCGG
rnacentral:tRNA from 1 species